UACGUAGGGGGCAAGCGUUGUCCGGAAUUAUUGGGCGUAAAGCGCGUGUAGGCGGCUUGGUAAGUCUGGUGUGAAAUCUUGGGGCUCAACCCCAAGCCUGCAUCGGAUACUGCCUGGCUAGAGUCCGGGAGGGGAGAGCGGAAUUCCCAGUGUAGCGGUGAAAUGCGCAGAUAUUGGGAAGAACACCGGUGGCGAAGGCGGCUCUCUGGAACGGUACUGACGCUGAGACGCGAAAGCGUGGGGAGCGAACAGG
rnacentral:rRNA from 1 species